ensembl:lncRNA
UGUAUACCUAUAGCAGGCUUCCUGAGAGCUCCAUGCACUCGCUGCUACUCCUGAGUUUCUGUUAACAGUUCCUCUUUCCAGAUAGAGAAGCUGAGGCUGGCCCACAGAGCUAUUUGUGUUCCAAGGUCACAGAGACCUGGGACAGCCUGGGCUGGCAAAGGCCUGCUGAUCUGGCUGGAGCGCUUGCCACAGGCCCCUUAAGCCUCUCAGUGGCCAGUGGGAAGUGGUGAGGGAGCUCAUGAGAUUAACGCCGCCGCAGCUCGCAGCUCAGUAGUAAAACCCGGACCAGCUCACUCUGCAGGCUCACUGGUGAAUAACAGGAAUCUUUAUCAUCCUUUCCGUCAGAAAGCGUUUAUUUAAAACCCUUUGGCUAGCUCACAGGGUGAGCUGGCCUGUCACACACCAUCACAUGGCAUGGAAACUGGCAAUUAAAUUUAGCAACCCACCUCGGCAAAUCCAGACCGAGAUGUUUACAGGCCAGCCUGAGAGGAGCCAGGAGUUUUCACUCCUAAAUCAAGAGGUUUCCAGAGAAAGUGAAAUAAGGCUCGGGUGGGUUAUGCCGAAUUAUGAGCACCUGUUCCCAUCAAUAACUUGGCGUCCUCCAAAUGCUACAGCAGGACGCGGGGGCCGAGAAUGCUCAUUCUGCACACAGUCUGAUAGAGGGCUACGGGCUUCGUUGUUGGGCUGCGGCGCAGAAAUGGGGAGACGCCGACAUGGAGGCAUUCACUCCAAGGACAACUUGUUUGUUUACUGACUCUGGGGGCCGAGAGAGACAACAUUAACCAAAGAAUAAACGUCAUUUUCCCUACACACCAUGAACAGAGGGCUGUAAUCGCAGCACUGAGCAGCUUGAGUAGAUUUCCAUGAUGGCAAACAGUGAGGUGGGCAUAUUAAGUACACAGUAAGUUUUACUGGUUUGCAGGGUGCAAUCAGAAUUAUAGCCUGGAUUCAUUGCUACAGGCUUGCCUGCGGUCCAGGAAGCUGUUCUGUUAUAAAGCUCCACUUUCUGGAAAGCCCCUUGGGUUGAAAAUUAGCAAAAGUGGACUUUGUGUUUCUGGUGUGUGUUGGGCUCUGAUAAUGGGAGGACCCCAGAUUAGAAACGAAGCAGAGUGGCUCUUUACUCUUCUGAAUAGUAACCCUGGUGGAUUUCCAGGACCGAGGGCGAAGAUGGAAGACAUCCUGUGCAAAGCCAGGUUUUCUCUCAUGCUGUAAUUAAGAACCGCGGCGGAACAAUUCCCUGAGCGACAUGUUCCUAUCCAACUUGCCCAUCAUAAGUCUUCCUUUAUCUCUACUUUUGCUCCCCUUCCUUUUCCUUUACUCCCUCUCUUCUUCUCACUCGUUCCUUCUCCCCUUUCUAGGCCUAAUGGUGAAGAGCGUAGCCCCACAUUCUUCAGCUGCUCUGUGGACUCGGGCUGAGGAGCUCAUGUGUCCUCCUUGGCUCAGUAGAAGCAGGUCGGGCUGACACUCACGAGACCUUCAAUCCAGUGCCAGCUUGACCCACGGUGCUGGGCCCGGUAUAUUCUCAGUGCAUGGGUUUCUUUCUGUAAGAUGGGGAUAAAAGUCUCUCCCCUACUUCACGAGGAUGAUUUCAAGGACUGAUGAGAUUGUGUGUUAAGAACGCGCCUCAGAGGACGGGCACGGUAUGAAUGCUGGGUAUUGCCGUCGUUGUCCAUUUACGUUUCAGAGUACUUCGCUGAUGUUCCUGGUCACGUCUUCCUCGUCUCGUAAAGCAGGUUGGAUCCAAAGAAUUGAGUUUGGCUCAAAGUCACACAAGGUUGGGUGCCUCAGCUGAGUCUAAACAAAGAACAAUUGAGUUCCUAAUCUAUGCUCAGCCUGUUGGACCACAGUGACCUCUGCUCUCUGUACCUGGAAGCCCAGCCCUGGUGGAGGAAAUAAUGCUCCUGCUUCUCCAGAUGGUGCGGAACCUGUUACACUGCCUCCCCCUCCCCAGCAGCCCGGGUGAAUCUAGCUCUGUUUGUGUCUGGCCCACAUCUCACACCUGCCCGGCACAGCCUGCCGCUUGCUGAGAGAGAAUGUGGGGCAGAAGUGUGAGUCGGGGGAUGCUCAGUUGGGCAAGGGGAGAGCCAGAGGACACAAAUCCACUUUGGGGGUUCAGAAGUGAUAUGUGAGCGUAAACACAAGUGGGAGCCUAACUGAAGUUUCAGCCGAACUGAAAUGUUUCUACUCUGUCCGACUUCAAUUCCUUUGCAUAGGGAUCAUCUGAAACAGAAAUGCCAGGACAGAACAAAAACGGAAAAAUCCCCUCUGAGGCUGGGACCAUGGCAGCGGCCGCGGCCGGACUUGCUCGUCAUUCGCCCGGAUUCCCCUGCCCUGCUUGGGACUGCAGCCCUCUGUCUUCUGCAAACGACUUCUCCCAGGCUGUCUUGCUGCCUGGCUUCCGGCUGGGUUCAGCCCGAGUGAGUCAGUGAGGGUGAAUCCGAGGGCUGGAGGAAGGGAGAAGCCAGGCUGUUCCCCUUGUUCUCCCACUGAGCUGGCCGGGGUCUCUAACAGCGGCCCCCUGCCAGUGUGCUCCUGCUGGGCAGCCACUCUCCACGGUUCCAGCUUCACCAGACUGCUGAGUUCAGGUGCUGAUAACAUUUCCUUCCCAAAUGUGGAAACUUGCUGCUCUCACUUCUGUGGGGGAUUGGCUUUUCAGCUCUUCCACCGUCUCUGUGACCAGCUCCCCACAUUACAUUUCCUCUAUUCGACUCCCUGGCUGCCACUGUCUUCCUAACUGAUAAAUGCACGGAACCUCUGAGGGCGCCUGGUCUGCUUUACAGAUGAGGAACCUGAGACCCAGGGAAGCCACAGGCCCCUCCUAUAGGAAGUGGGUCCAGGUGGGACUGGAAUCCGGCUCCCCCAGCGUCGCUUAGUGAGCCUCCUGGGGCAGGGGGCCUAUGGGGUCCGGACUCAAAGGGGCCACUUUUACUGGUAAGGAGAAAGCGGGAAAUAAAGCUGGAAUUGCCAGUUCAUGCACAGAAAUGGUCCAAAUACUCUAAUUACCCAGAAAGGCCCCUUCCUUUAAAAAAAAUAAAUGAAAGGCUGAAAAGAAAAGAUAAAGAGAGAAACUUGGGUGUCAAGGUGUGAGGGAAAGAGAUGGAUCUUCUUAUUUCUCCUAUUUGCCUCUUUAGACUUUGAAGAGGAUCCCGGGGUCCGGGUACUGGCUUCUUUCGAAGGAAAACAGGGACCCCUCAUCCCUUCUGGGGGAGGACUGGAUGCUUCGGGGUGACACCCAUGGCUUCAUCCAGAGCAUCUUGCAACAAUUCCUUGGGGCAUGUGGAGAAGCCUGAACCUUGUCACAAUUAGGCCUCAGCUCUGGCAACCUGUGUUUACACCAGGAUGCCCCCAGCCUGGGCCAGGUCAGACUCCAGCCCAGCACCUGCUCCACCAGCACCCAAACCAGCCCUCCCAAAGGGCACUCCGUGGUCAGCAGGGCCAGCAGAGCCCUGGAGGGGGCCCUCCCUGACAACCACCCUUUGACUCAUGCAUUAUUCAGAGGCCGCUGGACUGGCGCUGCCUGCUGCCUGCAGGGCUCACGGAGAGGUUCAGCUCCAGCCGCACAGGCAGAGCCAAAGGGAUAUGUGACUUGAGAAACUUUUCUUUUUAAUUGUAGUAAAAUACACGUAAACUUUAGUCUUUACAAUUUUUAAGUUUACGGUUCACUGGCAUUAAGUACAUUCACAUUGCUGUGCCUGUCACCUGUCACCACCGUCCAUCCACAGAACUUUGUCAUCUUCCCAAACUGAAACUGUCCCCAUUAAACACUGACUCCUCAGUCCUCGCUCCUCCAGCCCCUGGGACCCACCAUUCUACUUUCUGUCUUUAUGAAUUUGACUACUCGAGUUACCUCAUAUAAGUGCAACCAAGCAGUAUUUGUCCUUUGUGACUGGCUUAUUUCACUUAGUAUAAUGUCUCCAAGGUUCAUCCACCUGUCAAUUUCCUGCCUUUUUAAGACUGAACACUGGCCCAUUGCAUGUAGAUCCCACAUUUUGGUUAUCCAUUCAUCCAUCAAUGGGUUGCUUCCACCUUUUAGCUAUUGCGAAUAACACUGCUACGGACAUGGAGGUACAGAUACCUUUUUGAGGCCCUGCUUUCACUUCUUUUGGGCAUACACCCAGCAGCAGAAUUGCUGGAUCAUUACUGGAUCAUCAUAGGGUAGUUCAUUUGCAAUUUUUUGAGGAACCGCCCUAUGGAUUCCCAUAGCUGUAUCACUUUACAUUCCCAUCAGCAGUGCACAGGGUUCCCUUUUCUCCACAUCCUUGUCAAUACUUGUUGCUUUCUUUUUUUUUUUUUUUGAUAAUAGCCAUCCUAAUGGGUGUGAAGUGUCUUUUAACUUUUUAAUUUAAUGUUUAAAAAAUGUAUUCCGUAUGUGGAAUAAAAAUUUCAACAUGCAUAAAAGGUGCAUAAUGAAACAUCAAUUUUCCUCUCUCCUCACCCCAGUUUCCCUGUUUCCAGAGGCAACCAUGGUUACCACCCUCAGGAACGCUCCUCAAGACGGUCCAUGCAGAGAUGAGCCU